rnacentral:rRNA from 1 species
GACAGCAGUCGCCGCGGGAAUACAGAGGGUGCGAGCGUUAAUCGGAUUUACUGGGCGUAAAGCGUGCGUAGGCGGCUUCUUAAGUCGGAUGUGAAAUCCCUGAGCUUAACUUAGGAAUUGCAUUCGAUACUGGGAAGCUAGAGUAUGGGAGAGGAUGGUAGAAUUCCAGGUGUAGCGGUGAAAUGCGUAGAGAUCUGGAGGAAUACCGAUGGCGAAGGCAGCCAUCUGGCCUAAUACUGACGCUGAGGUACGAAAGCAUGGGGAGCAAACAGGAUUAGAUACCCCGGUAGUCCCUGUCUCUUAUAA